CGGACGUGGUGACACGGACGGCACGGUAAACCCCAUCCGGGGCAAGGCCAAAUAGGGGGACGUUGACGCUGCUCGCGGAGUCCCCGGGUAGGCUGCUAGAGCGGCGCGGCAACGCGUCGACCAGAGGAAUGAUUGCCCGGAGGGCCGGUCUCCGGACUGGCCUUCUCGACAGAACCCGGCUUAUCGGCGGACUUCCCAA
rnacentral:RNase_P_RNA from 1 species